CUGCACUUAUCUCGUAGGCCUCUCUAGUUUGAUAGUUUGGUCUUGAGCGAAAGGUGCACAAACUGAUAGCUGUUUAAUCAGCAGCGGCCAGACAACCGUAGAGUUGGAUCCACAGGUGAAUGGUUUAAAGUGCUACUUGCCUACUGAUUCCACCUCACAUUC
rfam:Punica granatum cultivar Dabenzi scaffold42, whole genome shotgun sequence.